CAAGAGGCCUCUCCAGGGAGGCAGGAGCAAACCUCUGAGCUGGGGUGCUCAAGGGGCAGUUUAUGACGUCUUCCUCAACGCAGUCCCUCCUCAUUGCAGGAAUGGGCUCCCUUUGGUCACGAAAUCGGAGCAGCCUCCAGUGUCUCUUUGGGUGAUAUGAAGACGUACACCCAGGUGGCAAGUCACAUUGAAAUUCAUCCCACAUUGACCCACGUGGAAAACGGCCACCCUGCCAUAGCAGAGCCAGAGGACACCUAGAGCUCCCCUCCACCCCCCGCCAACCCUUGCAAUACGCAAAUGAGGAAACUGAGGCCCAAGCAAAGCAACUUGAUCAAGAUCUCGUGGCUGGGUAAUAGUAGAGCUGGAAUAAAAAUGUCUAGUGCGGUU